GACGAACGCUGGCGGCGUGCCUAACACAUGCAAGUCAACGAGAAAAGGGUAGCAAUAUCCUGAGUAAAGUGGCGCACGGGUGAGUAACACGUAGGUAAUCUGCCAUUAGGACGGGGACAACCACGCGAAAGCGUGGCUAAUACCCGAUGAAUCAGCGGCGCCGCAUGGCGUUGUUGUUAAAUACCGCAAGGUGCCUGGUGAUGAACCUGCGUCCCAUUAGGUAGUUGGUGAGGUAACGGCUCACCAAGCCGACGAUGGGUAGCUGGUCUGAGAGGAUGAUCAGCCACACUGGAACUGAGAC
rnacentral:rRNA from 1 species